UACGGAGGGGACUAGCGUUGUUCGGAAUUACUGGGCGUAAAGCGCACGUAGGCGGAUACUUAAGUCAGGGGUGAAAUCCCGGGGCUCAACCCCGGAACUGCCUUUGAUACUGGGUAUCUGGAGUCCGGAAGAGGUGAGUGGAAUUCCGAGUGUAGAGGUGAAAUUCGUAGAUAUUCGGAGGAACACCAGUGGCGAAGGCGGCUCACUGGUCCGGUACUGACGCUGAGGUGCGAAAGCGUGGGGAGCAAACAGG
rnacentral:rRNA from 1 species